rnacentral:rRNA from 1 species
AAUAGAUACCCAGGUAGUCCACGCCGUAAACGAUGUCGACUUGGAGGUUGUUCCCUUGAGGAGUGGCUUCCGGAGCUAACGCGUUAAGUCGACCGCCUGGGGAGUACGGCCGCAAGGUUAAAACUCAAAUGAAUUGACGGGGGCCCGCACAAGCGGUGGAGCAUGUGGUCUAAUUCGAUGCAACGCGAAGAACCUUACCUACUCUUGACAUCCAGAGAACUUUCCAGAGAUGGAUUGGUGCCUUCGGGAACUCUGAGACAGGUGCUGCAUGGCUGUCGUCAGCUCGUGUUGUGAAAUGUUGGGUUAAGUCCCGCAACGAGCGCAACCCUUAUCCUUUGUUGCCAGCGGUUCGGCCGGGAACUCAAAGGAGACUGCCAGUGAUAAACUGGAGGAAGGUGGGGAUGACGUCAAGUCAUCAUGGCCCUUACGAGUAGGGCUACACACGUGCUACAAUGGCGUAUACAAAAGAGAAGCGACCUCGCGAGAGCAAGCGGACCUCAUAAAGUACGUCGUAGUCCGGAUUGGAGU